rnacentral:lncRNA from 1 species
AUUGUUAGAUCGUUUUAAACACAUUUUACGUUGGUUUGAAACUAAGCUUGUUGCACUUACACAUUUGAUUGAAAUGUUGGGUCUUGAAGUGCUUUUUUUCACACUUUUUGAAAUUUUUUUAGGUUGUGAGUUACGAACUUAUGCUUGAGUAUUGUUUGGUCGGUUUGAAAUCUUAGACACGUUUUGCACUCUUUUUAGGAGUACUUGAAACUAAGUUCGUUGCACUUACAUACUUCGUUGCCGUUUUGGGUCUUGAAGUUCUUUUUUUACACUUUUCGAAAUUUUGGUAGGUUGUGAGUUACAAACUUACACUUAAGCAUUGUUUGGUCGUUUUGAAAGUUGAAGUGAUACUUACACAUGUUUUGAAUACAUUUUAGGUUUGAUUGAGUUUGUUGCACUUGGUUGUCAUUUUUGGUCUUGAAAUGCUCUUUUCAACCUUUUUGGUAGAUUAUGAGUUACGAACUUACACUUAGGAUUUGCUAGGUCGUUUUGAAAACUCAGUAAUACCUAGACACGUUUUGAGCACGUUUGAGGUUGGUUUGAACUAAGUUUGUUGCACUUACACACUUGGUAGCCAUUUUGGGCCUUGUAUUGCUUUUGUCACACUAUUUGAACUUUUUUCGUCGGUUAUGAGUUACGAACCUACACGUAAGCUGUUUUAGGUCGUUUUGAAAGUUCAAGUGAUACUUAGACACAUUUUGUUCAAGUGAUACUGUUUUAGUUCGUUUUCAAGUGAACUUUUUUCUUCUUGUAUUGAAUGUUUUACUAUUUCUUCAUGGUAUUUAUUUUUCGUAAGGAAUCUUUCAUGUUCUGGUAAACAUUGCAGAAACACAUAAUUUCAGCAAUCUGUCAAAGAGUUGAAGGAGAAGAUAGAAGAACUUAAAGGUGUGAAUGAAGACCUAAAAGUUAGGUAAUUUUUUGAAAAAAAUUUUCUUUGUCUUGCUUAGUUUUAGUGGUAUUUGUUAACAGGCUGAGACAUACUCUUGUAUGCCAACGCUGGGUGGCCACUUCAAUGGAUGGCCUGAGACGGUGAAAUGACGAGUGUAGAACAAAGUAGACAACCGAGCAGAUUUACAAGUAGGAGGAUGGUGUUUGGUCUUACUCUAAAGCUACUGCUAGAAAGGUGAUUCUCCCUUUAUUUACACAUGUUACCUAUAUUUAAUUACUGUUUUUAUGUGAUGGUGAAUAAAUAUUUAAGUCGUUUCAAGUUUGUACAUCAUGCUUGAGUUAAUACAUUUCCCAACUCACACUAAUUUUAAAGUUGAGACUAAGUUUGUUGCACCUACACACUUGGUUGCCAUUUUGGAUUUUGGAGUGAUUUUUCUACAUUUUUUGAACUUUUUGGUAGGUUAUGAGUUAUGAAGUAACACUAAAGCAUUAUUAAGUCGUUUUUAGAGUUCGAGUGAUACUUAAACAUUUUUUGAACACCUUUUAGGUUGUUACAAACUAAGUUAGUUUUACAUACAGUCAUGGUUGCCAUUUUGAGUCUUGAAAGAUUUCUUUUCACACUUUUUGAAAUUUUUGGUAAGUUAUGAGUUAUAAACUUACACUUAAGUGUUGUUAGGUUGUUUGAAAGCUUAUACGUGUUUUGAAUACUUGUUAGGUUUGUAUAAAACUAAGUCCGUUGCACUUACAUACUUCGUUGCCGUUUUGGGACUUGAAGUGCUUUUUUUACACUUUUUGAAAUUUUGGUAGGUUGUGAGUUACAAACUAACACUUAAGCAUUGUUUGGUCGUUUUGAAAGUUUAAGUGAUAUUUACACACGUUUUGAAUACAUUUUAGGUUAGAUUGAGUUUGUUGCACUUGGUUGUCAUUUUUUGUCUUAAAAUGCUUUUUUCAACCUUUUUGGUAGAUUAUGAGUUACGAACUUACACUCAGGAUUUGCUAUGUUGUUUUGAAAACUCAAGUAAUACCUAGACACGUUUUGAGCAUGUUUUAGGUUGGUUUGAACUAAGUUUGUUGCACUUACAUACUUGGUAGCCAUUUUGGGCCUUGUAGUGCUUUUUUCACACUAUUUGAACUUUUUUCGUAGGUUAUGAGUUACGAACCUACACGUAAGCCAUGGUUACCAUUUUGAGUCUUGAAAGAUUUUUUUUCACACUUUUUGAAAUUUUUGGUAAGUUAUGAGUUAUAAACUUACACUUAAGCGUUGUUAGGUUGUUUGAAAGCUUAUACGUGUUUUGAAUACUUGUUAGGUUUGUAUAAAACUAAGUUCGUUGCACUUAGACACUUGACAUUUUGGGUUUUGGAGUGUCUUUUCCAAAAAUUUGAACUUUUUGCUAGGUUAUGACUUAUGAACUUGUAUUGAAUAUUUAUUAGGUUGUUUUUAGAAUUCAAGUGAUAUUAGGCUUAAAAAUUCUGCUCAUUUUUCUAAAAUUUUUAGUUUAACCUAUUUAAUAAAAUUCGAUGGAAAUUCUUGUUUUCUUUUUGUAGGAAUAAAAGGAAAUGAAAUAUAACCAAACUUGGGAUCUUUGCAAGCAAGCUUCCUUGAAGAAACUAGGUUACAAGGGGUUUGGGGUUUAGGGUUUUAGGGCUUGAGGGCUUGGGGCCUUGGGGUUUUAGGGCUUAGGGCUUUUAGGGCUUAGGGCUUAGGGCUUUUAGGGCUUUUAGGGCUUUUAGGACGUUUAGGGCUUAGGGCUUUUAGGGCUUUUAGGGCCUUUUUAGAGCUUAGGGCUUUUGGCUUAGGGCUUGGGCUUUUAGGGCGCUUAGGGCUUUUAGAUUUCAGGGCUCAGGGCUUAGGGCUUUUAGGUUUUAGGGCUCAGGGCUUGGGCUUGGACUUUUUAGGGCUUGGGCUUUGGCUUUUAGGUUUUAAGGUUUAGGGCUUAGGGCUUGGACUUUUAGAGCUUGGGCUUUGGGCUUUUAGGACUUUUAGGGCACAUAGGGCUUUUAGGUAUUAGGGCUUGGGCUUUGGGCUUUUAGGGCUUAGAGCUUAGGCCUUUUAGGGGUUGGGCUUAGGCCUUUUAGGGCGCUUAGGGCUUAUGGCUUUUAGGGCUUAUGGCUUUUAAGGCUUGGGGCUUUUAGGGCUUCUAGGGCUUCUAGGGCUUUUAGAGCUUAGGGCUUAGGGCUUAGGGCUUAGGGCUUUUUAGGUCUGCUUAGGGCUUGGGCUUUUAUUGCUUAGGGCUUGGGCUUUUAAGGCUUUUAGAGCUCUUAGGGCUUUGGCUUUUAGGGCUUUUAGGGUUUUUAGGGCUUUUAGGGCUUAGGGCUGAGGGAUUUUCGGGCUUUUAGGGGUUUUAGGGCUUGGGCUUAGGGCUUAGGGCUUUUAGGUCUUUUAGGGCUUAGGGCUUUUAGGGUUUAGGGAUUUGGGCUGAGGGUUUAGGGUUUAGGGUUUAGGGCUUAGGGCUUAGGGCUGAGGGAUUUUCGGGCUUUUAGGGGUUUUAGGGCUUGGGCUUAGGGCUUAGGGCUUUUAGGUCUUUUAGGGCUUAGGGCUUUUAGGGUUUAGGGAUUUGGGCUGAGGGUUUAGGGUUUAGGGUUUAGGGCUUAGGGCUUAGGGCUUAGGGCUUAGGGCUUAGGGCUUAGGGCUUAGGGCUUUUAGGGCUUGGGCUUUGGGCUUUUAGGACUUUUAGGGCUUUUAGGGCGCUUAGGGCUUUUAGGUUUUAGAGCUUGGGCUUAGGGCAUAGGGCUUACGCCUUUUAGGGCUUGGGCUUAUGGCUUUUACGGCGCUUUGGGCUUUGGGCUUUUAGGGCUUAGGCCUCAGGGCUCAGGCCUCAGGCCUCAAGAAUCAGGGCUCAGGUCUCAGGCCUCAGGGUUCAGGCCUCAGAGCUUAUGGCCUAGGGCUUGGGUUUAUGACUUUUAGGACUCUGGCUUUGGCCUUUUAGGGGGCUUAAGGCUUAGGGCUUAGGGCUUAGGGCUUUUAGGGCAUAUGGUUUUUAGGGCUUUUAGGGCUUAGGGCUUAGAGCUUUUAAUGCUUAGGGCUCGGGCUUUUAUUGCUUAGGGUUUGGCGGCUUUUAGGGCUUUUAGGGCUUUUAGGGCGUUUAGGGCUUAGGGCUUUUAGGGCUUACGGUUUAGGGCUUUUAAGGCUUAGGGCUUUUAGGGCUUUUGGGGCUUUUAAGGCUUUUGGGGCUUUUAAAGCUUAGGGCUUUUGGCUUAGGGCCUGGGCUUUUAAGGCUUGGGCUUUUAGGGGUUCUAGGGCUUUUUGGGCUUUUACUGCGCUUAGAGCUUUUAGGUUUUAGGCCUCAGGGCUUAGGGCUUGGGCUUUGGGCUUUUAGGUUUUAGGGUUAAGGACUUAGGACUUGGGCUUUUAUGGCUUGGGCUUUCUGCUUUUAGGACUUUUAGGGUUUUUAGGGUUUUUAUGGCGUUUAGGGUUUAGGGUUUAGGGCUUUGGGCUUUGGGCUUUUAGAACUUUUAGGGCUUUUAGGGUUUAGCGCUUGGGCAUUGGGCUUUUAGGGCUUUUAGGGCUUAGCGCUUAGGGCUUAGGGCUUAGGGCUUUUAGGCUUUUAGGGCUUACGACAUAGGGCUUUUAGGACAUAAGUCUUUUAGGGCUUAGGGCUUUUAGGGCUUAGGGCUUAGGGCUUAGGGCUUAUAGGGCUUUUAGGGCUUUUACGUUUUAGGGCUUAGGGAUUGGGGUUUUAGGGCUUCCGCUUUGGGCUUUUAGGUUUUAGGGCUUAGGGCUUGGGCUUUUAGGGUUUGGGCUUUUACGACUUUUACGGCUUUUACGACUAGGCGCUUAGGGCUUAGGGCUUAGGCCUUUUAGGGCUUUUAGGGCUUAGGUCUUUUAGGGUUUAGGGCUUUUUGGGCUUUUGGGCUUACGGCUUACAGCUUACGGCUUAGUGCUUAGGGCUCAGGGCUUAAAGUUAGGGCUUUUAUUGCUUAGGGCUUGGGCUUUUAAUUACUUAGGGCUUGGGCUUUUAGGGCUUUUAGGGCUUAGGGCUUAGGGCUUAGGGCUUUUAGGGCUUAGAGCUUAGGGCUUUUAGGGCGCUUUGGGCUUUUAGGGCUUAGGGUUAGGGCGGUGUUCCGAAUCCUAUAAUACAACCCUCCGAAGGGAACGUCGCUCCAACGCAGACAAGUAGGCAUAUUAUAGAAAUCUCACGGUGCAACCUAAUGGAAGAGACCGUGGGAUGUGCUACCACAUAUCCCUCACCCACUUACUAUGAACUACUUCCCCUAUUCACCUUGAUUUUGAUCCAUGCAAACACUCUCCGAAAGGAGUCCGCUCCUAUGCACGACACAAAGCCCUGCAUGGACCUCACAGUGUGAACUCUUAGGGAGGGGUUAGGGGUUAGGGGUUGGAAGGUAUGAGGGGUUGGGGGUUGGGUUUCGAGGUUUAGACUUUUUGAGGUUUCGACGUUUUGGGGUUUUGGGGGUUGGGGGUUGAGGGUUGGGGGUUUGGUGUUUGGGGGAUGGGAGGUUGGAAGGUUGCAAGGUUUGGGGUCUGGGUUUAGGCGUUUUGGUUUCGAGGUUCAAACUUUUCGAGGUUUUGAGGUUUGUGGUUUUGGGGUUAUAGGUUUCGAGGUUUGAGGUUUGUGAGGUUCGAGGUUCGAGUUUUGGGGUUCGCGGUUAAGGGUUUGGGGUUAGGGGUUAAGGGUACUUUAGGGUUUAGUGUUUAGGAUUUUGGGUUUGGAUUUCGGGAUUGGGGAUUGGGGUUUGGGGUUUGUGGGUUGGGGUACUUUGGGGUUAAAGUUUAGGAUUUAUGGUUUACGGAUUUAGGGGUUUAGGGGUUUACGGUUUAGGGUGCAUGGAUCGGUUCGGAGUUCGUGAUUUCAAGAUUCGGGGUGGCGCAUUUGGGGUUUCAUAGUUUAAGGUUUAGGUUAGAGUUAUAGAGUUGUGUGUUAUUAGCUUUCGAGACGAUGACCAAUAUUAAUCAAAGUUUGAUACCCAAAAUGCAUGUAAUUCGAAUCAUAAUAAGAAACUCAAAAUUUCAAACCAAUCCAUAAUACAAAAUGCAUAGAUAUUCCCUAACUAAUAGAAAUUGUUAUCUCCACCAACAAAGUUUGAAGUUAGGAUUACAGGUUUCAGAUUUCGAGUUUCAGGGUUUUGGGGUUGGUGGUUGGGGGUUUGGAGGUUUAGAGGUUUGGGGGCUGGGUUUCGAGGUUUGGGGUUUUGGGGUUUCAUGUUUUGUGUUCAGGGUUCGAGGUUCGAGGUUUGGGGUUAAGGGUACUUUAGGGUUUAGUGUUUAGGAUUUUAGGGUUCUGGUUUCGAGAUUGGGGAUUUGGGGUUCAGGGUUCGUGGUUUGGGGUACUUUAGGGUUUAUGGUUAAGGGGUUAAAGUUUAGGAUUUAUGAUUUACGGCUUUAGGUUUUUAGGGGUUUAAGGUUUAGUGUUUUAGGUUUCAAGGUUUAGGGUGCUUGGAUCGGUUUGGGGUUCGUGAUUUCGGGUUUAGGGUAGAGCGUUUGGGGUUUCAAGUUUUAGGUUUCAGGGUUUUGGGGUUUUCGGGAUUUUGGGUUUGGGGGUUGGGUUAGGGGUUUUAGGUUUCGAGGUUUAGACUUUUCGAGGUUUCGAGGUUUGUGGUUUUGGGGUUUCAAGUUUCGUGUUCAGGGUUCGAGGUACGGGGUUCGGGGUUAAGGGUACUUUAAGGUUUAGUGUUUAAGAUUUUAGGGUUCGGGUUUCGAGAUUAGGGUUUGGGGUUCGUGGUUUGCGGUACUUUAGGGUUUAGGGUUUAGGGUAGAGUUUUAGGGCUGUGUGUACUUAGAUUCCAAGACGAUGACUAGUAUUAAUCAAAGUUUGAUACCCAAAAUGCAUGUAAUUCGAAUCAUAAUAAGAAACUCCAACUUUCAAACCAAUCCAUAAUACAAAGUGCUUAAAUAUUCCCUAAAUAAUAGAAAUUAUUAUCUCCACCAAUAAAGUUUGAAGUUAGGAUUACAGGUUUAGAGGUUUGGAGGUUGGAAGGUUUGAGGGGUUGGGUUUAGUGGUUUCAAGGUUUUAGGGUUUGGAAGUUUGGGAGUUGAGGGUUGGAGGGUUUGAGGGUUGGGUUUAGGGGUUUUGGGUUUCGAGGUUUAGACUCUUCGAGGUUUCAAGGUUUGUGGUUUUGGGGUUUUCGAUUUCGAGUUCAGGGUUCGAGGUUCAAGGUUCGAGGUACGGGGUUCAGGAUUCGGGAUUUGAAAUUAAGGGUACUUUAGGGUUUAGUUUUUAGGAUUUUGGGUUUGGAUUUCAGGAUAAGGGUUUGGGGUUCGGAGUUCGUGGUUUGGGGUACUUUGGGGUUUAUGGAUUAGGUGUUAAAGUUUAGGAUUUAUGGUUUAUGGUUUAGGUUUUUGAGGGUUUAAGGUUUAAGGUUUUAGGUGCAUGGAUCGGUUUGGGAUUCGUGAUUUCAGGAUUCGGGGUGUGGCGUUUGGGAUUUCAGGGUUUAGGGUUUAGGAUUUAGGUUAGAGUUAUAGGGUUGUGUGUUAUUAGAUUUUGAGACGAUGACCAAUAUUAAUCAAAGUUUGAUACCCAUAAUAAGAAGCUCAAUUUUGGAGGGUUUGGAGGGUUGGAGGGUUUGGAAGUUUGGGAGUUGAGGGUUGGAGGGUUUGAGGGUUGGGUUUAAGGGUUUUGGGUUUCGAGGUUUAGGGUUGGGGUUUUGAAGGUUUAGGGGUUAGGGGUUGGAAGGUUUGAGGGGUUAGGGGUUGGGUUUCGAGGUUUAGACUUUUCAAGGUUUCGACGUUUUGGGGUUUUGGGGGUUGGGGGUUGGGGGGUUGGAGGUUUGGGGGAUAGGAGGUUGGAAGGUUUGGGGUUUGGGUUUAGGGGUUUUGGUUUCGAGGUUCAAACUUUUCGAGGUUUUGAGGUUUGUGGUUUUGGGGUUAUAGGUUUUGAAGUUCGAGGUUUGAGAUUCGAGGUUCGAGUUUCAGAGUUCGGGGUUCAGGGUUCGGGGUUAGGGGUUAAGGGUACUUUAGGGAUUAGUGUUUAGUAUUUUGGGUUUGGAUUUCGGGAUUGGGGAUUGGGGUUUGGGGUUUGUGGGUUGGGGUAUACUGUGGGGUUUACGGUUUAGUGAGUUAAAGUUUAGGAUUUAUGGUUUACGAUUUUAGGGGUUUAGGGGUUUAGGGUUUAGGGUGCAUGGAUCGGUUCGGAGUUCGGGAUUUCAAGAUUCGGGGUGGGAGCGUUUGGGGUUUCAUAAUAAGGUUUAGGUUAGAGUUCUAGGGUUGUGUGUUAUUAGAUUCUGAGACGAUGACCAAUAUUAAUCAAAGUUUAAUACCCAAAAUGCAUGUAAUUCGAAUCAUAUAAUAAGAAACUCAAAAUUUCAAACCAAUCCAUAAUACAAAAUGCAUAGAUAUUCCCUAACUAAUAGAAAUUGUUAUCUCCACCAACAAAGUUUGAAGUUAGGAUUACAGGUUUCAGAUUUCGAGUUCAGGGAUUAGGGGUUUUGGGGUUGGGGGUUGGGGGUUUGGAGGUUUGGAGGUUAGGGGGUUGGGUUUCGAGGUUUGUGGUUUUGGGGUUUCAGGUUUCGUGUUCAGGGUUCAAGGUUUGAGGUUCGAGGUUAAGGCUACUUUAAGGUUUAGUGUUUAGGAUUUUAGGGUUCUAGUUUCGAGAUUGGGGAUUUGGGUUUGGGGUUCAGGGUUCGUGGUUUGGGGUACUUUAGGGUUCGUGGUUUAGGGGUUAAAGUUUAGGAUUUAUGGUUUACGGCUUUAGGUGUUUAGGGGUUUAAGGUUUAGUGUUUUAGGGUGCAUGGAUCAGUUUGGGGUUCGUGAUUUCGGGUUUCUGAGUAGAGCGUUUGGGGUUUAAGGUUUUAGGUUUCGAGGUUUUGGGGUUUCUGGGAUUUUGGGUUUGGGGGUUGGGUUAGGGGUUUUUAGGUUUCGAGGUUUAGACUUUUCGAGGUUUCGAGGUUUAUGGUUUUGGGGUUUCAAGUUUCGUGUUCAAGGUUCGAGGUACGGGGUUCGGGGUUAAGGGUACUUUAAGGUUUAGUGUUUAAGAUUUUAGGAUUUAUGAUUUACGGCUUUAGGUUUUUAGGGGUUUAAGGUUUAGUGUUUUAGGUUUCAAGGUUUAGGGUGCUUGGAUCGGUUUGGGGUUCGUGAUUUCGGGUUUCUGGGUAGAGCGUUUGGGGUUUCAAGUUUUAGGUUUCGGGCUUUUGGGGAUUUUGGGUUUUUGGGUUUGGGGGUUGGGUUAGGGGUUUUAGGUUUCGAGGUUUAGACUUUUCGAGGUUUCGAGGUUUGUGGUUUUGGGGUUUCAGGUUUGUGGUUUUGGGGUUCGAGGUUCAGGGUUAGGGGUUCGAGGACUACAGAGGAUUGAGGCUAACCACCAAUCAGGAUGAAAAAUGAAAACAAAUUAUAUUAUAAACAUUGUUAAAUCUAAUCCAUGAUAAAAUAAUAAAAGUUUGAAAAAGUAGCACCACUCAACAAAUAAAAACAACAAAAUUUUGUGGAAAAUUAUCUGUAUGGCCAAGACAAUAGUCCAAAAGUUCUUCAAUUGUAAAAGGAAAGAGGAUAAAGAAGAUAAUAAACAUUAAACUGGAGAGUAUCAUUUCCUAAACCAUUCAACGUGUAGCUAUUAGAGUGACACACCGGUAAGAGUAUAAAUAAAAUUGAAAACUAAGAGUGCUCAGUUUUACCUUGACCGUGCAAAUGGUCUAUCUUUCUCGAGUUCUAACUCCAUAAGUUCAGCUUCUACUUCUCGAUUUUUAGCUAAGCCCAUGCCCCAUUCCAACUUUAUCUCAUGUGACCGAAGACCAACAUCACAAGCAGCCACAGUGAGAUUUGAUAAAAGCAUUGAUAAGAACUAUAACUCCUAAGAAGUACAUAGUUUAAAGUGGAAUUUUAAUUUAAAUCAUAGCUCUUUAAUACCACCCUAACUAGACUUCAAUACUAUACUUGAAUUCAACCAACCACUAAUAAAUAUAGAACAAGAAAUUGGAACAAGUCUGGAUUAUUAAUAUCACAAAGCCUAAAUAUUAGAAUUAUCAAUAUGAAAAAAGAUGAAACAAGUCUAAACUCAAGAUAGAUAGGUUUUAGAAGCUUUAAGUUGGUAGCUUUUCAACAUAGUCAACAAAACAUGGAGCAUACCUAAAGAAAGAGAAAGUCUCAUGCUAUUAAAUUAAUUGAAACCAACAGCAACAACAGAAAACCAACUUGAUUAAACAAGUUCUUAAUAAUCUUUUCAUUGAGCCAAACAAGCUAAAUCACACCACAUCUGAACUAGUCAAAAGCAAACAACCCAAAUGCUGAAUUUCAUUUUGAUUCGUCCCAACAUGUAUAUAGAUCUAAACAUGAAACUAAAACUUCCAAAUUUUGCAUAAGCUUAAAAAAUACAUGAAUUUAAGAUAAUUAGAAAAGGGGUACCCAAAAGAUAGCUUCUUUUUUUAAUAUUAUUAUUAUUGAAAAAG